GCGCGGUGAGCGUAGUAGCCCCUCGGGCAUGCUCUUUGUACAACCAAGCGAAGAGCUAGUGAGGGCCGGAAUGGAAUAUCGUAUGUAGUGUAGAAUCGGAUCUGAAGCUCUUUACUAGGAUUGGAACAAGCGAGGAACGAGUGACCACAAGCUCCGGCGCUCGACAUGCAGUUAGCUUAAAACAUGUUCAUCAUGUGCAAAGAAAGAGGAAAGGGGCGAAGCGCACCUGCGUGAAGCAGCCUAGCAUCACUUUAGAUAGGAGCAGAAUGGAUGACUGACAACUGAAAGUUCUUCGGAUCGAUAUCUCGUACGACGUAAUGGAGAUCUUGGUCUAGGUCCGGUGGUUCGCAGAAUUCGGGACCUAACGAUGUUCGAUUCGUCACAUGAACGGGAGCGGACGAUUCCCUCGUCUCUCCCGUUCAUGUUUCGGGGAAUGGCUGCAAUCACAAGCAAGUGAUUGAAUGAGUGGGGGGCUCCGAAAGCACAUGCGGGAUAAGCAGGUCUUUCAGGAGACGGUCUAAGGGUCCGGUCUAGAAAGAAAAGAGAACUCUCAACAAGCUGGAACUAAUCAAGAUCAAUAGGAAGAGGAGUUAGCUAUAAAUGAAUUUUUUGACAAAGUUCAUGCCACGACGAUCUAUACUAUAUGGAAGGGCUUGUUGAUGCAUUCCUGUUGAAGUUGAAAAAGAGACAAACAUGAGUCUUUCAUUCCUCCUCCCGGAUCUGCUUGGAUUAUCUUAUAAUAAAAUAAGAGGAGUUAGCUAUUCUUAGGAAAUGACUGAACUUAAAAGAAAGAUGCCACCCCCUUUCAUUAGGAGGCGAGGGAGUAACUUGUCUGAUCUUGCGGUGCACUCACUCCCGUUACGAGAAUGAAAUGACGCCCCAGCUCGACUCGAGACCAAGACUCCUUACAACUCGCACCAAUAGUGAGCGGCCGGAGAUUGAUUGAAAAGGCAGCCGCCCCUCCCCCCUAGCCGCCUACCUACUCGUGCUCGUAGCUCGAUCGGAGGUGAAGACUUUUGUCCGGCGGAAAAAGAGAAGUCGUCCGUCUCAAGUGAUACGUUAAUUGCUCAGUAGUGCUUCGCCACUACCGUAGCUGGCGGAAAUAGCUUAAUGGUAGAGCAUAGCCUUGCCAAGGCUGAGGUUGAGGGUUCAAGUCCCUCCUUCCGCUCUUGGCUUCGUCGUUUAGUGGUAACGAGUAGAGUAGGCAUCGCCUCUCGAUCCAAUCCGUCUUUCCCUGGCCUCCCCAACACACUCUUGAUACGAAAGAAACCUCCCGCCAAUCGGAAUCGGAUUCGGAAAGAGAAGAAAGAGAUCUAAAGUCUGGGCAUCAUCCCCUCGAUCACCCUUCCCUUGAACCGGAACUGGUCGAGAGAGAUGAACCCGCACCACAUUUUAUAACCUUCGAACCGAAAGCCCCAACUAGAGAUGGAAUUCCAUAACCUAAAAAAGUAAAUUGAGAGCUCCCGGUUCAAUUCAAGGGAAGGUCCACCAAUAAUGGAAAGGCCAUUCCCCUCCCUAUCCCUUUCUUGAUCCCUCAUUCCACGAAUUAGUUUUUACUGAUUCAUUCAAGGACUGAAAGCUUUUCGUUUUAUGAAAAGGCAUAGACUCCCCACUUCUUUGUCUUAUUAGCGCAGGUGUUCGUCAACGAUGAAAGCCGCUGAACUUAAGAUAAGACUCGAGUUGAGAAAGAGGGCUAGGCCAAGGAUAGGAGGGCUUUCAGGGACUGGGGAGGGUGGAUUAUAGAGCUAGGGGCGGAUCAGAGGUUUGUCCAUUGGGAUUGGGCAUGGACGAGCCUCGACUGGGCCAGCAUUGAUGAAAAAAAAAACUUCUCCCAUCGCAUCAUUAACCGGUGUAGGAUUAAAGAUCAGGUCCAGGAUUCGAGUCAAAUCGACCUUCCCUCUCAUCUCAGGGUGAGGCAAGGUAGCUUGCUCAAAUGUUCGUUGUUCAAUAUCUCGGCUGCUCAAUUGGACUAGCUGCUCCCAUUCCUCAAAUAAACGACGGAGUGGACUCCCUUCUAGGGGAAGGGCAGAGCCUCACCUUGCAGUAGGAAGGUUUUCGUUGCUGGGACGGGUUCAGAAGGGAGGAGGAAUGAAAGACUCCGAUCUUACUGGGGAUUCAUCACUGGCUAGGGCUUUCUAAUCAAAGCAUGGGCAUCUGCAACUAAGAGGGAACAGUAGAUCGUCGAUGGAAGAGCCAGGUCAGUCAACUUCUAUUGGGACUUCUAUUGAUUAUUGAUUCGACUAGAGGGACUCCUAGCAAGAAACUUGUAUGACGGGGCCCCAUGGAGACGCAGGAGAUGCAGGAGUGAGAUAAACAGCCGGAUCGACCAAAAAAUGAUAGGCCAGAGGGAUGGGCUCAUUCGACUAAUUAGUGAUCCCUGGCCCUACCUAACAAAGAGAUGUCCCUAAAAAAAAAUAAGAGGGAUUGGUUGAUCGGAAAGCUCGGGCAGGAGUAGGACAUUCCAUAAAAAUCUUUCUGAUCCGCUAGCUCUCACUCCUUGCCCUAUUCGGUCAAGCAGCUUAACUCCUCUCACUAUUUUUUCAUCGACAGGUAGGGUGAAUUCUAAGGUUCCUUAUUCCGGUUCCGGUUGUAAAGCGGAACCGGAAGAAGAGGGAGAAAGAAUGGGCACAGCCCCACCAGCAGCCCGCGUUUUCGACCCGAAAGGAAUUGAAAAUGAAACAAGAAUCUGUGUUCACUAUCUAUGGAGCGGAGUGACUAUCCUGAAUCUCCUCUUCCCUAUCUCCCCCUUGCCUUUUUUUCUUUUUCUCGCCGGCAGGUAGUUGACUUGCUUACUUGUUAGAGUAAGGAGAAUCCAUUUAUUUAUUUCUGAUUGAUCUGUAGUUCAAGGGCACUCUUCCUAAUCCGAGUUUAAGAUGGAAUAAGACCCAGACGUAGAGUCCCGUCGGCCGGUAAGGGAUUUUUUCUAUUGAUUUUUGAUUCCCUUCAGUCCUUACCUUUAAAUAAGGGAUUCUUCUCUUUCCCCACGAGGUCUUCAAGCCAGAUGGAGUAGUGCAUCUCUGUCUUGAAAGCCCGCCCUACAGAUAGGAGUUCCUAUCUCUACUGCCUAUCCAACCCGAAGAUUCUUAUUCGUGGUGGAGUGCUUCGAGUAGGAUCCGACCCCAUCCCAGCAGUCAAAGUCCUUCCUGACCCGGCUCACCUGCCUCUGAAGCUUGAAUGCCUUUAUAGAGGAGGCUACCCGAGGAAUCGAUAAGUUUGAAGUGGGGAUGUGGAAUGUGAUUGGUGAUGGAUGGUGGUUAUUAAAUAAGUUCUGCAUCAGAUGAUGAGCCCGUGCGAAAACUUUUUCUUUUAUUGGCGCCCGAUAGGUAGGCUAUUCGAUUGAGUCGAAAGCCUACCAACGCACGCAUAAGGUUCCGCGAUUCGAGCGAGAGCCCAAACGGGGGAGGCGAGACAUCUUGAUCG